ACACGUAUGAAAGACAAGCUGAAAGACUUUUCUCAAUGAUGUAAGUGGUGGUGCAUGGUCGUUCUUAGUUCGUGGAUUGAUUUGUCUGGUCUAUUCCGAUAACGAGCGAGACCCCUUCGUUCCUAAUAGAGGCGGCAGCCCGGCUUAUCUUCGCAAGAGGAUCUGCUAGCAGCCGUCGUAAUAACUUCUUAGACGUAUCAGAGCCGAUAAGGUUCUUGAAAUGGGUUAAUAACAGGUCAGUCAUGCCCUUAGAUGUUCUGGGCCGCACGCGCGUUACAAUGGUACACAUAGAAUGUGCUUAUCUCGAGCUUCUCCGCGGCCUAAUGGUCGUGGUAAUCCAUAAUCUUUUCCUUGACUGGGCUAGACUAUUGCAAUUAUUGGUCUUAAACGAGGAAUUUUUAGUAGUCACAGGUCAUUAACCUGUGACG
rnacentral:rRNA from 1 species